GAGACAGCGAUGCAUAAGGAGGAAUUUCAUCUGAAAUUUUUCAUGUGUGUGAUUCAAUCUCGCGGGUUAGUCAGGACUCCUCAGAGCACAGGGGGAGAAGCUUCAACUUCCAGCAUGCUCAUACAAAAGCCACCACCUGAGAUAGACAACAUGAAGUAUCUACAUGCUACGGAUGGUCCAGACACUGUGGAAGGCAUACCUAUUUUGAAAACUGAGUGGAUCAUGACCCAUGAAGAGCACCAUGCAGCCAAAACCCUGGGGAUUGGCAAAGCCAUCGCCGUGUUAACCUCUGGUGGAGAUGCCCAAGGUAUGAAUGCUGCUGUCAGGGCUGUGGUUCGAGUUGGUAUCUUUACUGGUGCCCGUGUGUUCUUUGUCCAUGAGGGUUAUCAAGGCCUGGUGGAUGGUGGAGAUAACAUCAGGGAAGCCACCUGGGAGAGUGUUUCGAUGAUGCUUCAGCUGGGAGGCACAGUCAUUGGAAGUGCCCGGUGCAAGGACUUCCGUGAACGAGAGGGACGACUCCGCGCUGCCCACAACCUGGUGAAGCGUGGGAUUACUAAUCUGUGUGUCAUCGGCGGUGAUGGCAGCCUCACUGGGGCUGACACCUUCCGUUCUGAGUGGAGUGACUUACUGAGUGACCUCCAGAAAGCGGGUAAGAUCACAGCGGAGGAGGCUACGAAGUCCAGCUAUCUGAAUAUCGUGGGUUUGGUGGGCUCAAUUGACAAUGACUUUUGUGGCACUGAUAUGACCAUUGGCACUGAUUCCGCCCUGCACCGGAUCAUAGAGAUUGUGGACGCCAUCACCACCACUGCUCAGAGCCACCAGAGGACAUUUGUGCUAGAAGUGAUGGGCCGGCACUGUGGAUACCUGGCCCUUGUCACCUCUCUCUCCUGUGGGGCUGACUGGGUUUUUAUUCCUGAGUGUCCACCGGAUGACGACUGGGAGGAACAUCUUUGUCGCCGGCUCAGCGAGACAAGGACCCGUGGUUCUCGUCUCAACAUCAUCAUUGUGGCUGAGGGUGCCAUAGACAAGACUGGGAAACCCAUAACCUCAGAAGACAUCAAGAAUCUGGUGGUGAAGCGUCUGGGAUAUGACACCCGGGUCACUGUCUUGGGGCAUGUGCAGCGGGGUGGGACACCAUCAGCCUUUGACCGGAUCCUGGGCAGCAGGAUGGGUGUGGAGGCAGUGAUGGCACUUUUGGAAGGGACUCCAGACACCCCAGCCUGUGUGGUGAGCCUCUCUGGGAACCAGGCUGUGCGCCUGCCCCUCAUGGAGUGUGUCCAAAUGACCAAAGAUGUGACCAAGGCCAUGAACGACAGGAAAUUUGAUGAAGCCAUGAAGCUGAGAGGCCGGAGCUUCAUGAACAACUGGGAAGUGUACAAGCUUCUGGCUCAUGUCAGACCCCCAGUCUCUAAGGGACCGAGUAGCAUACACACAGUGGCCGUGAUGAAUGUGGGGGCCCCAGCCGCAGGCAUGAACGCUGCCGUCCGUUCCACCGUGAGGAUUGGCCUCAUCCAGGGCAACCGGGUGCUGGUUGUACAUGAUGGCUUCGAGGGCCUGGCCAAGGGUCAGAUCGAGGAAGCUGGCUGGAGCUAUGUUGGGGGCUGGACUGGCCAAGGUGGUUCCAAACUUGGGACUAAAAGGACUCUACCCAAGAAGAGCUUUGAGCAGAUCAGUGCCAACAUCACUAAGUUUAACAUUCAGGGCCUUGUCAUCAUUGGGGGCUUUGAGGCUUACACAGGGGGCCUGGAACUGAUGGAGGGCAGGAAGCUGUUUGACGAGCUGUGCAUCCCGUUUGUGGUCAUCCCCGCGACGGUCUCCAACAACGUCCCCGGCUCGGACUUCAGCGUGGGGGCUGACACAGCACUCAAUACUAUCUGCACGACCUGUGACCGCAUCAAGCAGUCAGCGGCAGGCACCAAGCGUCGGGUGUUUAUCAUCGAAACGAUGGGUGGCUACUGUGGCUACCUGGCCACCAUGGCAGGACUGGCAGCUGGGGCCGAUGCUGCCUACAUUUUUGAGGAGCCCUUCACCAUUCGGGACCUGCAGGCAAAUGUUGAACAUCUGGUGCAUAAGAUGAAAACCACUGUGAAAAGGGGCUUGGUGUUAAGGAAUGAGAAGUGCAAUGAGAACUACACCACGGACUUCAUCUUCAACCUGUACUCUGAGGAGGGGAAGGGCAUAUUUGACAGCAGGAAGAAUGUGCUUGGGCACAUGCAGCAGGUCGGGAAAACACCCCAGUCAUACCCUUCACCAGACGGCCACAAUCCCCGAUAGCCAUUGGGUCUCCCACUGGUCCCCAAUCUGCUGGAGACUGUCGGUGCCACCACAGAGCACGAGCCUGCAGUUUUUACUGUCACAGAAUCGAAACAGCAUUACCCUGGAAAUGGCCUUCGAGGUUAUGUGAUCCCUCCUGGGGCAGGGCUUCUCAGCACUGGCACCAUUGUCAUUUGGGGCUGGAUAAAUCUUUGUUGCGGGUGGCUGUUCUGUGCCAUUGCGGGAUGCUUUAGCAACAUCCCUGGACUCUACCCACUAGAUGCCAGUAGCACCUCCCUCCUAAGUUGUAACAAAUACAAAAUGUCUCCAGGCUUUUGCCAAAUGUCCCCUGGGGGGCAAAAUCAUCUCCAGUUGAGAACCACUAAUUCAGAUGAAGAAAAUGAGGCCCAGACGGGAGAAACAACUUUUUUAGGGCCGCUCAUCAAACUUGGGUGAGAGCCAGAAUGCACUCCAGUGCUCUUCCCAGCAUGCCAUGCUGCCUUCCUGUGCAAGAAGUACAGCCACCUUGCUGGUGUUGGGCUCUGUCUGCACUAACCGGGGUUUCCGGGGGAAACGAAUUCCCUUCUGCUAUCCACAUCCAAUCCCCACCUACGGCAGGCCUCGCUCACAGACGGUACUGGUGGUCUUAGGCCUCCCCAUCCCAAAGCUGAUUCUGCUUAAGUAUGGACCUUUGACCGUUGUCUACCUACCUAUGAAUUCCCAGUAUCCUCAACUUGAAUGAGCUUAUUAGCCCCUGCAGGAAUGGGGUCUGACUGGAUAAAGCAUGGCGAUCUAUUCCCCACUUUCCCACCUCCUUUCACUUAGUUCAGAGAAAAUCUGCAUGAUGUUUUAUAUUAUUCUGAGGUGCUACCAAGGACAUCUAUGUUGGUUCACAAGGAACACUUCUGUCGAUGAUGGUGACUGACAAAAGCUGCUAGGCUGAAGAGGGGCAAGGAGGCGACUGGCCAAUCAGACUGGAAGUGAAUGAACAGGAUCUGGCAGCUGUGGAGCUAGAGGCGGCGGUUGUGAGACCAGGGAGGAAGCCCAACUCCGUUUGACAGAAAUUUUGCCACUAAGAUGGGUGCCAAGGCUAUGAACUGGAUGUCUGGGAAAAUCAAAGAGAGUUACCGUAAUGGGAGGAUCUUCGCCAAUACACCAGACUCAGGCUGUGUUCUG